rnacentral:misc_RNA from 1 species
GGAGGCACCAAAGUCGGAGAAAUGGAAGACAAAGAAGAAGCUGAAGCUGCAAAGGAAGAGGGAGAAGAAGAAGAGAAAAGCUGCCAACAAGAGAGAUCCGAGAAGACUUGGUGUUCAGGGGAAGAAGAAGAAGCAGAAAUUUGACACUGCUGAAGAAAGAAUCAAACAGAAGAUUGAAAAUGCAAAAGUCAAAGAAGCUAUGCUAAUUGAGAGACUAAAGAGAUAUGAGGUUACCAAAGUUCAAG